rnacentral:rRNA from 1 species
UCCAGACUCCUACGGGAGGCAGCAGUGAGGAAUAUUGGUCAAUGGGCGCGAGCCUGAACCAGCCAAGUCGCGUGAGGGAAGACGGUCCUAUGGAUUGUAAACCUCUUUUGUCGGGGAGCAAAAGACGCCACGUGUGGCGUUCCGAGAGUACCCGAAGAAAAAGCAUCGGCUAACUCCGUGCCAGCAGCCGCGGUAAUACGGAGGAUGCGAGCGUUAUCCGGAUUUAUUGGGUUUAAAGGGUGCGCAGGCGGAAGAUCAAGUCAGGGUUAAAAUGGAGGGGCUCAACCUCUUCGAGCCGUUGAAACUGGUUUUCUUGAGUGAGCGAGAAGUAUGCGGAAUGCGUGGUGUAGCGGUGAAAUGCAUAGAUAUCACGCAGAACUCCGAUUGCGAAGGCAUCUCACGAAUCCGCGAUUGACGCUGAUGCACGAAAGCGUGGGUAUCAAACAGGAUUAGAUACCCUAGUAAA